rnacentral:rRNA from 1 species
GACGAACGCUGGCGGCGUGCCUAAUACAUGCAUGUUGAGCGCUGAAGGUUGGUACUUGUACCAACUGGAUGAGCAGCGAACGGGUGAGUAACGCGUGGGGAAUCUGCCUUUGAGCGGGGGACAACAUUUGGAAACGAAUGCUAAUACCGCAUAAAAACUUUAAACACAAGUUUUAAGUUUGAAAGAUGCAAUUGCAUCACUCAAAGAUGAUCCCGCGUUGUAUUAGCUAGUUGGUGAGGUAAAGGCUCACCAAGGCGAUGAUACAUAGCCGACCUGAGAGGGUGAUCGGCCACAUUGGGACUGAGACACGGCCCAAACUCCUACGGGAGGCAGCAGUAGGGAAUCUUCGGCAAUGGACGAAAGUCUGACCGAGCAACGCCGCGUGAGUGAAGAAGGGUUUCGGAUCGUAAAACUCUGUUGGUAGAGAAGAACGUUGGUGAGAGUGGAAAGCUCAUCAAGUGACGGUAACUACCCAGAAAGGGACGGCUAACUACGUG